ACCCGCUGAACUUAAGCAUAUCAAUAAGCGGAGGAAAAGAAACCAACAGGGAUUACCCUAGUAACGGCGAGUGAAGCGGCAACAGCUCAAAUUUGAAAUCUGGCGUCUUUGGCGUCCGAGUUGUAAUUUGCAGAGGGCGCUUUGGCAUUGGCAGCGGUCCAAGUUCCUUGGAACAGGACGUCACAGAGGGUGAGAAUCCCGUACGUGGUCGCUAGCCUUUACCGUGUAAAGCCCCUUCGACGAGUCGAGUUGUUUGGGAAUGCAGCUCUAAAUGGGAGGUAAAUUUCUUCUAAAGCUAAAUACUGGCCAGAGACCGAUAGCGCACAAGUAGAGUGAUCGAAAGAUGAAAAGCACUUUGGAAAGAGAGUUAAAAAGCACGUGAAAUUGUUGAAAGGGAAGCGCUUGCAGCCAGACUUGCCUGUAGUUGCUCAUCCGGGUUUUUACCCGGUGCACUCUUCUAUAGGCAGGCCAGCAUCAGUUUGGGCGGUUGGAUAAAGGUCUCUGUCAUGUACCUCUCUUCGGGGAGAACUUAUAGGGGAGACGACAUGCAACCAGCCCGGACUGAGGUCCGCGCAUCUGCUAGGAUGCUGGCGUAAUGGCUGU
rnacentral:rRNA from 1 species